CCUGCCCAUAAAGGUUUUGCAAGGCUGCUGUGUCACAUGUGUGUCCGUAGCUGGCAGAGAAGCUAUAUCUAUGCCCAGUGGUCUGACAUAAUGAACAUCUAAACAAUUAUUAGCCUACCAAU
rnacentral:snoRNA from 1 species